rnacentral:rRNA from 1 species
GUUUGUAACCUACCUCUGACUGGAGGAUAGCCCGAAGAAAUUCGGAUUAAUACUCCAUAAUACUAUGGACAGGCAUCUGUUCAUGGUUAAAGCCCCGGCGGUCAGAGAUGGGCAUGCGUGACAUUAGCUUGUUGGUGAGGUAACAGCUCACCAAGGCUACGAUGUCUAGGGGGUCUGAGAGGAUGGUCCCCCACACUGGUACUGAGACACGGACCAGACUCCUACGGGAGGCAGCAGUGAGGAAUAUUGGUCAAUGGGCGAAAGCCUGAACCAGCCAUGCCGCGUGAAGGAUGACAGCCCUAUGGGUUGUAAACUUCUUUUGUACGGGAAGAAACGCUUCUACGUGUAGAGGUUUGACGGUACCGUACGAAUAAGCAUCGGCUAACUCCGUGCCAGCAGCCGCGGUAAUACGGAGGAUGCAAGCGUUAUCCGGAUUUAUUGGGUUUAAAGGGUACGUAGGCGGGAGCUUAAGUCAGUGGUGAAAUCCUGCAGCUUAACUGUAGAACUGUCAUUGAUACUGGGCUUCUUGAAUGUAGUUGAGGUAGGCGGAAUGUGUAAUGUAGCGGUGGAAUGCUUAGAUAUUACACAGAACACCGAUUGCGAAGGCAGCUUACUAAACUACGAUUGACGCUGAGGUACGAAAGCGUGGGGAGCGAACAGGAUUAGAUACCCUGGUAGUCCACGCUGUAAACGAUGAUCACUCGUUGUUGGCAAUACACCGUCAGCGACUGAGCGAAAGCAUUAAGUGAUCCACCUGGGGAGU